rnacentral:rRNA from 1 species
UACAUGGGGGUGCAAACGUUGCUCGGAAUUAUUGGGCGUAAAGAGCGCGCAGGCGGUCGUUCAAGUCGCGUGUGAAAGCCCCCCGGCUCAACUGGGGAGGGUCACGCGAUACUGAUCGACUCGAAGGCAGGAGAGGGUAGUGGAAUUCCCGGUGUAGUGGUGAAAUGCGUAGAUAUCGGGAGGAACACCAGUGGCGAAGGCGACUACCUGGCCUGUUCUUGACGCUGAGGCGCGAAAAGCUAGGGGAGCAAACGGGG